GGACACAUAGGGACAUGUAGGGACAUGUAGGGACAUGUAGGGACACACAGGGUCACAUAGGGACCAUAGAGACCUAUAGGGACACAUAGGACCAUAGGGACACAUAGGGACAUAUAUGGACCCAUAGGGGGACACAUAGGGACAUAUAUGGACACAUAGGGACACAUAGAGGGACAUAGGGACUCAUAGGGACACAUAGGGACCAUAGGGACAUGUAGGGACCCAUAGAGGGACAUAGGGACCCAUAGGGACACACAGGGACCAUAGGGACACGUAGGGACCAUAGGGACAUGUAGGGAUACAUAGGGACACAUAGGGACAUAUAUGGACCCAUAGGGACACAUAGAGGGACAUAGGGACUCAUAGGGACACAUAGGGACGCGUAGGGACCAUAGGGACAUGUAGGGACACAUAGGGACACAUAG
ensembl:lncRNA